rnacentral:rRNA from 1 species
GUGGGGAAUCUUGCGCAAUGGGCGAAAGCCUGACGCAGCCAUGCCGCGUGAAUGAUGAAGGUCUUAGGAUUGUAAAAUUCUUUCACCGGGGACGAUAAUGACGGUACCCGGAGAAGAAGCUCCGGCUAACUUCGUGCCAGCAGCCGCGGUAAUACGAAGGGGGCUAGCGUUGCUCGGAAUUACUGGGCGUAAAGGGCGCGUAGGCGGACAGCUUAGUCAGAGGUGAAAGCCCAGGGCUCAACCUUGGAAUUGCCUUUGAUACUGGCUGUCUUGAGUUUGGGAGAGGUGAGUGGAACGCCGAGUGUAGAGGUGAAAUUCGUAGAUAUUCGGAAGAACACCAGUGGCGAAGGCGACUCACUGGCCCAAUACUGACGCUGAGGCGCGAAAGCGUGGGGAGCAAACAGGAUUAGAUACCCGAGUAGUCC